rnacentral:rRNA from 1 species
AUUGAACGCUGGCGGCAGGCCUAACACAUGCAAGUCGAGCGAGCGGCGGACGUGUGAGUAAUGUAUGGGGAUCUGCCCGAUAGAGGGGGAUAACUACUGGAAACGGUGGCUAAUACCGCAUACUAUCGUAUGAAACCCUAGUGGAUUAGCUAGUAGGUGGGGUAAAGGCUCACCUAGGCGACGAUCUCUAGCUGGUCUGAGAGGGUUACCAGCCACACUGGGACUGAGACACGGCCCAUACUCCUACGUGAGGCAGCAUUGGGGAAUAUUGCACAAUGGGCGCAAGCCUGAUGCAGCCAUGCCGCGUGUAUGAAGAAGGCCUUAGGGUUGUAAAGUACUUUCAGCGGGGAGGCGUUACCCGCAGAAGAAGCACCGGCUAACUCCGUGCCAGCAGCCGCGGUAAUAC